rnacentral:rRNA from 1 species
GACGCCGCGUGCGGGAGGAAGCCCUUCGGGGUGUAAACCGCUGUCAGGGGGGACGAACCGCCGGGAGUCGAACAGGCUUUCGGUCUGACGGUACCCCCAGAGGAAGCGCCGGCUAACUCCGUGCCAGCAACCGCGGUGACUGAGCGGGCUGGCAAGGCGCAUA